rnacentral:rRNA from 1 species
UACGUAGGCAGCAAGCGUUGUUCGGAGUUACUGGGCGUAAAGGGUGUGUAGGCGGUUCCUUAAGUUUGCUGUGAAAUCUCCCGGCUUAACCGGGAGGGUGCGGUGAAUACUGAGGGACUAGAGUACGGGAGAGGAAAGUGGAAUUCCUGGUGUAGCGGUGAAAUGCGCAGAUAUCGGGAGGAACACCAGUAGCGAAGGCGGCACUCUGGGCCGGUACUGACGCUGAGGAGCGAAAGCGUGGGGAGCAAACAGG